CUCUGAGAAACACUUUAAAUCAUCAAUCUCAUCUGAUUCUAGAAACUAAGUAAGGUGAGGACUGGUCACUAUUCUGAUGGGAAACCAUCAGGGAAUACUAGGGGUCCCAAGGA
rnacentral:rRNA from 1 species